rnacentral:rRNA from 1 species
UACGGAGGGUGCGAGCGUUGUCCGGAAUCAUUGGGCGUAAAGGGCGCGUAGGUGGCCCGGUCAGUCUUUGGUGAAAGCGCGGGGCUCAACCCUGCGUCGGCCAGGGAUACUGCCGCGGCUCGAGCACUGUAGAGGCAGGCGGAAUUCCGGGUGUAGCGGUGGAAUGCGUAGAGAUCCGGAAGAACACCGGUGGCGAAGGCGGUCUGCUGGGCAGUUGCUGACACUGGAGGCGCGACAGCGGUGGGGAGCAAACAGG